rnacentral:rRNA from 1 species
GACGAACGCUGGCGGCGUGCCUAAUACAUGCAAGUUGAGCGAUGAAGAUUGGUGCUUGCACCAAUUUGAAGAGCAGCGAACGGGUGAGUAACGCGUGGGGAAUCUGCCUUUGAGCGGGGGACAACAUUUGGAAACGAAUGCUAAUACCGCAUAACAACUUUAAACAUAAGUUUUAAGUUUGAAAGAUGCAAUUGCAUCACUCAAAGAUGAUCCCGCGUUGUAUUAGCUAGUUGGUGAGGUAAAGGCUCACCAAGGCGAUGAUACAUAGCCGACCUGAGAGGGUGGUCGGACGCAUUGGGACGGAGACACGGCCCAAACUCGUACGGGAGGCAGCAGUAGGGAAUCUUCGGCAAUGGACGAAAGUCUGACCGAGCAACGCCGCGUGAGGGAAGAAGGUUUUCGGAUCGUAAAACUCUGUUGGUAGAGAAGAACGUUGGUGAGAGUGGAAAGCUCAUCAAGUGACGGUAACUACCCAGAAAGGGACGGCUAACUACGUG